UAACCUGCCUGUAAGACUGGGAUAACUCCGGGAAACCGGGGCUAAUACCGGAUGCUUGAUUGAACCGCAUGGUUCAAUCAUAAAAGGUGGCUUUCAGCUACCACUUACAGAUGGACCCGCGGCGCAUUAGCUAGUUGGUGAGGUAACGGCUCACCAAGGCGACGAUGCGUAGCCGACCUGAGAGGGUGAUCGGCCACACUGGGACUGAGACACGGCCCAGACUCCUACGGGAGGCAGCAGUAGGGAAUCUUCCGCAAUGGACGAAAGUCUGACGGAGCAACGCCGCGUGAGUGAUGAAGGUUUUCGGAUCGUAAAACUCUGUUGUUAGGGAAGAACAAGUACCGUUCGAAUAGGGCGGUACCUUGACGGUACCUAACCAGAAAGCCACGGCUAACUACGUGCCAGCAGCCGCGGUAAUACGUAGGUGGCAAGCGUUGUCCGGAAUUAUUGGGCGUAAAGCGCGCGCAGGCGGUUUCUUAAGUCUGAUGUGAAAGCCCCCGGCUCAACCGGGGAGGGUCAUUGGAAACUGGGGAACUUGAGUGCAGAAGAGGAGAGUGGAAUUCCACGUGUAGCGGUGAAAUGCGUAGAGAUGUGGAGGAACACCAGUGGCGAAGGCGACUCUCUGGUCUGUAACUGACGCUGAGGCGCGAAAGCGUGGGGAGCGAACAGGAUUAGAUACCCUGGUAGUCCACGCCGUAAACGAUGAGUGCUAAGUGUUAGAGGGUUUCCGCCCUUUAGUGCUGCAGCAAACG
rnacentral:rRNA from 2 species